UUUGUGAAGUCUUCUUCCUGGAACAUUCCGUGAUACCUUCCCACCAACCAACCAAUCUACGCUGCCUUUUCUCUCCCCACAGAAGUCCAACUUGCUCCACCGUGAAGGAAUUAGAGGAAGAUCAAUUGACCUCACCUGAGUUGAAUAUCUACCAAGAUUAAGCCGGAUGGGAGAAGUGGACGAUUCCAGGUCAUUUGUUGGGAAAGCAGAGCAUCUGAAGAGCAAAAAUGUAAGUUACACAUAUCCAUACAUGGGAAUUAAUAACUCCUUUAAAAAGUAUAAAAGUAAUGUUAAAAAUCUCCACCAGCACAGAAAAUAAUAAAAUAAAAAAUAGAAGUCAGCUUCCAAACUCACAGACAUCAACAUUGUUGACAAUUUCUUAUACUGCCCCCUGGACCUGGUAUGUGCAUGAGGCGCAUUCAUGAGGUACAGAUGUCCUUUUUUGUGUUAACUAAAUGGGAUCAUAUGAGACACACCUGCUUGGCAUUUUGCUUUUUCCAUCAGCAAUAUAUUUAACUCCUCCCUAUUGAUAGACAUUGAGGUUAUUUCCAUUUUUAAGCCUUCAAAUCACCUCAUUCUAUAACGAAUAUCCUUGUUAUAGGAACUUUGUGGACUAGUACAUGUACAUCUUUAAAUCAC
rnacentral:lncRNA from 1 species